AGAUGGAGGUUGGUCUAAGAGAAGAGAUAGCAUGUAGAGGCAAAUCCAUAUAUGCGAUUAAGUUGAUUCUUUAUGGGGAGACGAAUGAGUUGAAGUAUCUGAUUUCACACUGACGAGAAAAACUUCUAGGUAGAUAAUUAGUGCCCGUACCACAAACCGACACAGGUAGGCGAGGUGAGAAUCCAAAGACCAGCGGAAGAAUUGCAGUUAAGGAACUCGGCAAAUUGACCCCGUAAGUUAGCGAGAAGGGGUGCCAUAGAGAUAUGGUCGCAGAGAAUAGGCCCAAGCAACUGUUUAUCAAAAACACAGGUCUCUGCAAAAGCGAAAGCUUAAGUAUAGGGGCUGACGCCUGCCCGGUGCUGGAAGGUUAAGGGGAGCUGUUAUCGUAAGAGAAGCAGUGAACUUAAGCCCCAGUAAACGGCGGCCGUAACUAUAACGGUCCUAAGGUAGCGAAAUUCCUUGUCAGGUAAGUUCUGACCCGCACGAAUGGCGUAAUGACUUGGGCGCUGUCUCAACUGCAAAUCCGGCGAAAUUGUAGUGCAAGUGAAGAUGCUUGCUACCCGCGAUUGGACGGAAAGACCCCGUAGAGCUUUACUGUAAUUUAGCAUUGAGUUUUGGUAAUAUUUGUACAGGAUAGGUGGGAGACUGGGAAUCUAGAUCGUCAGAUUUAGAGGAGUCGAUGUUGGGAUACCACCCUGAUAUUGCUGAAAUUCUAACUGGGAUCCAUGAACUGGGUACAGGACACUGUUAGAUGGGCAGUUUGACUGGGGCGGUCGCCUCCAAAAGAGUAACGGAGGCGUUCAAAGGUUUCUUCAGAAGGGAUGGAAAUCCUUCGUAGAGCGUAAAGGCAUAAAGAAGCUUGACUGCGACACCUACAAGUGGAGCAGGUACGAAAGUAGGACUUAGUGAUCCGGUGGUACCUCGUGGGAGGGCCAUCGCUCAACGGAUAAAAGCUACCUCGGGGAUAACAGGCUGAUCUCCCCCAAGAGUUCACAUCGACGGGGAGGUUUGGCACCUCGAUGUCGGCUCGUCGCAUCCUGGGGCUGAAGUAGGUCCCAAGGGUUGGGCUGUUCGCCCAUUAAAGCGGCACGCGAGCUGGGUUCAGAACGUCGUGAGACAGUUCGGUCCCUAUCCGUCGCGGGCGCAGGAGAUUUGAGAGGAGCUGUCCUUAGUACGAGAGGACCGGGAUGGACUAACCAAUGGUGAACCAGUUGUUCCGCCAGGAGCACGGCUGGGUAGCUAAGUUAGGAAGGGAUAAACGCUGAAGGCAUCUAAGCGUGAAGCCCACCUUAAGAUAAGAUCUCCCAUAGCGUAAGCUAGUAAGACCCCUUGAAGAACACAAGGUUGAUAGGUAAAAGGUGUAAGUAUGGUAACAUAUUUAGCUGAUUUAUACUAAUAGGUCGAGGGCUUGACCAAAAUUAGCAAUAUAUUAUUUAUAUACAAUUUUGAGAGAUUAAAAUAUUUCUCAAUAUCUGGUGAUUAUAACGUGUAGGCAACACCCCUAUCCA
rnacentral:rRNA from 1 species